UACGUAGGGGGCAAGCGUUGUCCGGAUUUAUUGGGCGUAAAGAGCGUGUAGGCGGUUUGGUAGGUCCGCUGUGAAAACUCGAGGCUCAACCUCGAGACGCCGGUGGAAACCAUCAGGCUAGAGUCCGGAAGAGGAGAGUGGAAUUCCUGGUGUAGCGGUGAAAUGCGCAGAUAUCAGGAGGAACACCGGUGGCGAAGGCGGUUCUCUGGGCCUUACCUGACGCUGAGGAGCGAAAGCGUGGGGAGCGAACAGG
rnacentral:rRNA from 1 species